rnacentral:lncRNA from 1 species
GGCCAGGUGCAGUGGCUCACGCCUAUAAUCCCAGGACUUUGGGAGGCCAAGGUGGGCGGAUCACCUGAAGUCAGGAGUUCGAGACCAGCCUGGCCAACAUGGUGAAACCCCGUCUCUACUAAAAAUACAAAAAUUAGCUGGGUGUGAUGGCGCAUGCCUGUCAUCCCAGCUACUCAGGAGGUUGAGGCAGGAGAAUUGCUCAAACCCAGGAGACAGAGGUUGCAGUGAGCCGAGAUCAUGCCACUGCACUCCAGUCUGGGCAACAGAGUGAGACUCGGUCUAAAAAAAAAAAGUCAGCAGAGUAAGGAAAUGCUCUUUAUCACUUGUCUCCAGGAUGCUCCCCAAGUGAAGGCCAGGCUGCCUGUUCUGGAACCUUGGAUGCAAUGAGAUCCAUAGUUGGCAACGGUGCCAAGAGAACAAAGAAGAACAAUGCAUCUGAGAGAGCCACUGUGACACCUAGAGCUCACUUCUGCAUGGCCAGCUAGGGCCUGGAGAUGCAGCCAGGGGAAUGAGUUGGGAGCUAGGCCACCCCUUGCUCCUCCCAGGAUUGCCUCCCUCAGUAAAAACACCUGGUUUUUGAAGACUGCUUUUUUUCUGCUGAGGGACAAUAUCAUGAG